rnacentral:rRNA from 1 species
ACAAGCAGUGGAGCAUGUGGUUAAUUCGUACGCUACGCGAAGAACCUUACCAGGGCUUGACAUCUGGUUAAAUACCCUAGGAAAUAGGGGGAUAGUUAUAGCCAAGACAGGUGGUGCAUGGUUGUCGUCAGCUCGUGUCGUGAGAUGUUGGGUUAAGUCCCGCAACGAGCGCAACCCUUGUCCUUAGCUACCAUCAUUCAGUUGGGGACUCUGAGGAGACUGCCGAUGUAAAUCGGAGGAAGGUGGGGAUGACGUCAAGUCCUCAUGGCCUUUAUGCCCAGGGCUACACACGUGCUACAAUGGGUGGUACAAAGAGCAGCCAGCUCGCGAGAGUGAGCAAAUCUCAAAAAGCCAUCCUCAGUUCGGAUUGAAGUCUGCAACUCGACUUCAUGAAGUUGGAAUCGCUAGUAAUCGCGGAUCAGCAUGCCGCGGUCGAAUACGUUCCCGGGCCUU